CGUGCGCUCUUCCGAUCUAAACUUUAUUUUACUUUCCUUUAGUGCUAGACAGAGAAGAUUGAUGCUGCUUCUAAAUUGUGAAAAAAAAGAUGCUUCAUUGCACAGUCCACGAAUUAACAUUUCGGGUAUUAUUGAGUGUCGCAAACCAUUCCAUUUAUAAAAUAUUCUGUUUUAAUCUGCAGUCUACUUACAAUCUGUAUUACAACAAUUUUGCUUGUAUGCAUAUUAUUAUCCUGCUUAAAACAUUAUCAAUCGUAUUUUUACAACGGCUAAUCCUGAUACGAUGAUAUUUCUUGAUAGGGUUUAAGAGUUCACUUUCACCGUUGUGCUCAUACAAUUCAUACGUUAAACUAUUUCACAGAUCUAGUAUUCAUCGUUUUCGCGCACUGUAUGUGUAAUAAAUAACCAAACAGCUAAAAAUGAAGAAGAGAUAUCUUCAAUUUGAUACUUUGACUACAUGUAUGCAUAUUAUUCUACAGUAUGCUAUUGUCGGAAAUGGUAUAAAAUGAAUAAAAUCUCUUCUUUACCUAAAAUCAAUAAUACAUAAGUAUUUAAGCAUAGGUAUCUCGGCGUAUCUUCAAAUGUCUUAUGCAUUUUUGUUGUUUAAAUAUUUAUUUCUUAUAUAGAAAUAAAGUGUCUUGAAAUUUAAAAGAUUA